rnacentral:lncRNA from 1 species
GUACCGUGGUAGUCACAUUUGGUGGUAGUUCUGAUUGUUUGCUAGAUUACGAGAUAAGACCAAGUGCUUCUGCAACUCGGUUGCGGAUUUGAUAGGAACAUGAAGACUUGUGCCAUGACAUGGAGCAUGUUCGAUUAAAAGGAGUAAGUCAACAUACAGCUUGUUUCUUAUAUUUUAUUUAGAGAAAAUGAUUGUUCCUUGUGUGUCAUUUACUUCUACAAAUGCAGCAUAGUUGCUCCAAUAUAUUGAGCAGGGAAGAAGUUUGUUACAAGUGUUUUAUAGAGUUGACGCAAGAGACAUCCGACGGGAUACAUUGGUAGGGACUUCGUGAAAGGCAGACUCCAUUUAAUCCUUUCCAGCUGCUUACUGAACAGUGAACACCAAGCCCUAUUUGAUAUGCUUAAUGAUUGACAUAUAGGUGAAGGAAUCGACGAAGAAGCUUCCGUUCAGCAUGGUAUCUCAGUGGAAGAAUAUCCGAAGCAAACCUCCGCUACUUCUCUGUUCCCUUUCAUUUUUCAUGGUAAGACCUUAGGAAGGUAGGAAGACCUUAGGAAGAGCGGGUGGGAGGAAGGGAGGCAUGCGCUAUAGAUGUAGGCGAACAACGCUUGGAAAUUAUUAGUACUCUACAAAACGUCUGUCCCCUAUGAUGCCUAGAAUGAGCGAUAGAGGGUGGAAGGAAGGGAGAGCGGAGGAAGGAAGAUGGGGAUAUAUGUAGAGAGAGGGAGACAGGAGGAAGGGAGAUGGGCAUAUAUGUAGAGAGAGGAAGAUCAGAGAGGGAGGGGAGAUUUACAGGACAAUUGUCGUUGAGCCACUCAAAUAUAUAUGUCUCUGUUGCAUCGCAUGGGCAAUUAACUAUAGAAAAAUUCAAGGCUAUUUUUUAAAGUGACAUCUAUUCAGCGUGUUCCAACCAUUACAUGCCUUAAUUAUAGAAUAAUCUAAUAUUAUGAUUUCUCCAGUGAGCAGUAUACUAUAUACUUAACUGGGACUUUGAAUUUGUGCUUCAGGAAAAUUUGAACAGACCUCGUCCACGCCGAUAGUUUCCAGGUACAUCAGGUUGAACAAUUUUGUUUAUGUUGUGAGUGGUCAAUAUUCUUUACCGCUGGCCACACAUCUCACUUUGUGUUGGUCCCCUAGAAUAUGCUAAUGUUUAGUUUACAAUUUUUCAACUAUCAAAUAUCAUUGGACUUUACAUGGUUUCUUGCAAAAUAAAAAAAAUAAAAUAGACUCAUAUGGCCCGAGUUUGUUUGCUCAGGAGGAUUCUUUCAUAGAUUAUAAUAGUCAGUGGCUUAAAAGUAUUGUCAGUGCUACAAACAUAAAUCUGAUGAAAGAAGAACAUAUUUGUACCUUAUUGCCGGCUGACUAUACACACAAGAACCUCGAAACUCUCAUUACUGCGUUAUAUAUUUAGUUGCAAUAGUAUUUGAUUUUUCAUGAAGCAAUAUGCUUACUGUUUCUUCAUUCAGUUUCAUGUGGCAAUGACAUGUGGAGGACGACGGUCACGAGCGCAUUGUCGCAAGCUCACGGGAGGGAGGCACACAUCUCAUCCAAUGGAAAAGCACGCUCCAAAAAAUCCCUAACCCUCCAUGGAGCCAUUGCUAGGGGACGACGAGAUCAACGCCACCCAUCACGACCACCAAGAUGUAGAAGGUAUGUCCUGGUGCUUUCCUAGAAUCUUUCCUGCCUCUUGAGAGACCACAUGGCGUUCUGGUGGCAGUUUUUGGCCAAGGCUGGAAGCCAAGAACACUUCUUAAUUUUGAUCAUGGACUUGACAUUGUGGUCGGCGGUGCGUGGUGCAGUGCGGAGAUUUCUUGCCUGGGGUAUAACAAUGCGUGUUCAAUGGGUCGCCUCUUCUCACGCACAAGUCUCAGAGGGAGACAACGACAGCUAUUCAGAAUAACCACAACAAAAUUGUGACAUAGGUGGUUAGUGGGAGAAGGAACCUGAGACCGCAGCCGAUUCUGCAGCAAGGGUGGUGUGUAGAAGAUAGUUGUAGCAAGCAUAUAUAUAAGUCACUCUGGAAAAAGUGUGUAGUUAUUGUUGUAAUAGAGAUCCAUUCCUAUAUUUUCACUGAUAUGCAUGGUUGAAU